GACUAACACCGAUAUGCUUUGGGGAGCUGUACGUAAGCGUUGAUCCAGAGAUUUCCGAAUGGGGGAACCCACUAUCUUUAGUCGGAUAGUAUCCUUACGUGAAUACAUAGCGUGAGGAAGGCAGACCCAGGGAACUGAAACAUCUAAGUACCUGGAGGAAGAGAAAGAAAAAUCGAUUUCCUGAGUAGCGGCGAGCGAAACGGAAAGAGCCCAAACCAAGAAGCUUGCUUCUUGGGGUUGUAGGACACUCUAUACGGAGUUACAAAAGAAAGUUAUAAAUGAAGCGGUCUGGAAAGGCCCGCCAAAGACGGUAACAGCCCGGUAGUUGAAAUAGCUUUCCCUCCAGAGUGGAUCCUGAGUACGGCGGAACACGUGAAAUUCCGUCGGAAUCCGGGAGGACCAUCUCCCAAGGCUAAAUACUCCCUAGUGACCGAUAGUGAACCAGUACCGUGAGGGAAAGGUGAAAAGCACCCCGGAAGGGGAGUGAAACAGUUCCUGAAACCGUGUGCCUACAAGUAGUUAGAGCCCGUUAAUGGGUGAUAGCGUGCCUUUUGUAGAAUGAACCGGCGAGUUACGAUUUGU
rnacentral:rRNA from 1 species